UUUUCAUCUUUUGUUGCAAAAAUCAACUUUUUUUUGCUUUUAAUGAGGCUAAUUGAGCAUUUGCUUGAAAUUUUUAUCCAUUUUUUAAUUAGUGAUUUAAUCCUGUUCGCAGAAUCAAAAUUAAUGGUCAAAUAUUUAAUAUUCAGAAUCAAAAAAUUGCAGUGGAAGUUUUUCUCGUCUGUUUCUUUACGUAGUGUCAGCUAAUGUUGAUGGUGAUGGAUAUCCUUGAUUUACUUACUUGAUUAAAGUCAUCAUCUUGCAGAAUAUAAAAUGCAUCAGAUUCUGAUGGAGAUGAAGAACCAGAUGAUGUAGAUGACGAAUUCAGAGGAAAAGUUACAUUAGCCCUUGGACCUGCAGCAGAAAUCGGUGAUGAAUUUGGUGCCACAGUUGACGAUGAAGAAAUGUUUCAAUUAGAUGAAGCAAUAUUGGUCUUGUGUCCAGUUUCAUCUUUGCUUUAAAAAAGGUUUUGAUAUUGCAACAAAAAUGUUUACCUUGAAUGUAAAUUGUGAAAAGGUUAAAAAGAGUGUAAAAGGUUGUUGCUUUCUCAAGAAAGGUCCAGUGUAAUUCAUAGUUAAGGUUGCCACAUGGCUCCUUUAAGAUCACAGUAGUAACUUUUAUCUUUCUUUCUUUCUCUUCUUUCUUUCUUUAGACGGGCAGACGGAAGUUGGUCUGCAAGCCUCUCUUUUACCUGAAACCUUUCUUUACCGAGAAAAACCAAACCUUUAAGACGGAAAGUUAAUUAUGGCUUCAAUGGCGAGCACAAGUUAAGCGAGACGUUCAAGAUGGAACAGACUCUUGGAGCAUCUUAGUAGAGCAGAUGUUUGUGUCCACUUUUUCUUUAGGCUUCUCAAAGUGAAUGAGUAAGUGACCCACAGGUCCACUUUUUCCCGCCAAAAAAGCAUGUCAAAUGUCAAGACAAGUUAAAAAUGAUGGUACAGACGUUAGUAAUAUUACUUGUACUACAUCUUUCAAAACGUUUCACCUUUCAUUUCUGGAAAAUAUUUCAACUCCACCUUUAACCAGAUCAAGGUGAUUUUACUAAAUUUACCUAAAGACAGACGACCAAAUCAAAUAAUUUACUUGCAAAUAUGCAAACCGCUUGGAGCCAGAAAAUGGGGCUGAAUCUUCAUUAUCCAUUGAAACUGGAUCAAUCAUUGGGACAUCUUUUACUUAGAUUAUUGUAAUUAGAUGAUUUUCAAAUUGAAUUUCAAUAAGGAUUGUUAUGGCUUUAAUGGUAAUGGAUACGUGUUUAAAAGCCACAAUGGACGGAAAUUGAUUUACUCCAACGAAUACAUAGAGGAAAUAUAAUUACAACGAAUAAUAUUUAUUAUCAUUAUUAAUGGUGAUAUUAUAACAAAAGACAAAUGGCUAAUUGAAUGUCAUUAGCUAACAAUCUUGUGACGAUGAUAAUAUACAAUUGUGAAGAUUACUCGAUGCGAAACAAUAUUAUCUUGGUUGCAAAAAGUAAAUUUAAUCUUGAUUGUCGGUGUAGAUAGACAGAUACUUCAGUAUCAUAAUCAUUAUUUAAAUUAACCAAUUUCAUAAUGUCAUUCAUUUCCGUUUACAUAGGGAUAGUUUGAUGCGGAAUCGUUACUAACCAGAUUGCGCUACGAUUUGUUUACUAUUGGAGCGAAACUGGUAACAUCCGAUUUUUUUAAGACGAGAGAUAAUGAACGGAAAUGUAUAAAUAAGUAACGAAGCCGAAUGAUGAUGCUGAUGAUGAGAAUGAUGAGAAGAAAGUAACGUAGAAAGUACAACAUCCUGUCGGUAAUCAACCUCAUAUUGGCCAGUUUUACCUUUCUUUUUAGGUCAUUAACUGUCUGCAAGGUUAGACUCUUCUCAUUAGCAGCUAAGAGACACUUGGACUGAGUGGGAGGAAAAUGAAGAUGAUUUGUUGACCCUUUGGCCAUUUUAAGAGACACCUUAAUGUUUGUUUAAACCUUGUUGGCUGUCACCGUCCAUGUACCUAUUUUAAUUGUCCCAGAACAUGUUAAUGUCGCAAAUAAAGGCUCCAACUCUUUCCUCUUUUUGU